GUUUCUACAUCUUUCCCUCCUGAGUCUGGUUCAUGGGAGUUGUGAGGAAUCUGUGAAAAAACCUCGUCUGUUCUUUGUGCCACCCUUUUGCCACUACAGCCCAGCCUUCCAGGCCUGCUGCAAAGGUCAGCCCUGACUUGGCAGAGGAAGAGCAAGGGUCAGAAAACCGGGAUGGGGAAGGACUUAUUGAAGAACACGUGCAACCUGAUGAACCAGCUCCUCUGCAAAGUGGUGAGAGAAGGCUGAGGGCAUGGGACCAUGGUUUGGCAGCAAAAAGAAAACCAGGUGAGGAUAAUAUUCCCAGCCUCAAGAGAUCAUAUUCUUUGGAAAAAUGAUAGGAGAAAAAAACAUCAGGGCUAUUAUCUUCUGUACUUAGAGGAAGACUGACGGAGAAAAUGCAGUCACGAUUCGGUGAAAAAAUGGCUACGAAGGCUCUUCUGUCUGCUCUGCCUUCAUUUUUACUUGGGCACCGCUUUGUCAAGGCAAGGGUUAUGGAAAUAAUCAGUGGAUUCACAACAAGAACAGAAGUGCUAAUGUGGUACCGAGUCCCCAAGUAAAUAAACAAUUUCC
rnacentral:lncRNA from 7 species